UACGUAGGGGGCAAGCGUUGUCCGGAUUUAUUGGGCGUAAAGAGCGUGUAGGCGGCCAGAUAGGUCAGCUGUGAAAACUCGAGGCUCAACCUCGAGAUGUCGGCUGAAACCAUCUGGCUAGAGUCCGGAAGAGGAGAAUGGAAUUCCCGGUGUAGCGGUGAAAUGCGCAGAUAUCGGGAAGAACACCCGUGGCGAAGGCGGUUCUCUGGGACGGUACCGACGCUGAGACGCGAAAGCGUGGGGAGCGAACAGG
rnacentral:rRNA from 1 species